ACGGAGGAUCCGAGCGUUAUCCGGAUUUCUUGGGCGUAAAGCGAGCGCAGGCGGUUUCUUAAUUCUGAUGUGAAAGCCCCCGGCUCAACCGGGGAGGGUCAUUGGAAACUGGGAAACUUGAGUGCAGAAGAGGAGAGUGGAAUUCCAUGUGUAGCGGUGAAAUGCGUAGAUAUAUGGAGGAACACCAGUGGCGAAGGCGACUCUCUGGUCUGUAACUGACGCUGAGGCUCGAAAGCGUGGGGAGCAAACAG
rnacentral:rRNA from 1 species